rnacentral:misc_RNA from 2 species
AACUUUCGACAAUGGAUCACUUGGCUCUCGCAUCGAUGAAGAACGCAGCGAAACGCGAUAUGUAAUGUGAAUUGCAGAUUUUUGUGAACCAUCGAAUCUUUGAACGCACCUUGCGCUCUCUGGUAUUCCGGAGAGCAUGCCUGUUUGAGCGCCUUAUUACAAUUGUACAAUUGCAUUCGUGUAAUUGCACAGUAGUGGGCAUUGCCGUGUGAACGGCUUGCCCUGAAUGCAUUAGCAUUUCUGACCUUGAAACCGACGUGAUAAGUAUCUUCGUUGGCAGAAAGUGAAGAUGUGCUUCCAAUCGUCCUCGGACAAAACCUAAUGCUAGGCAUCAAAUCAGGUAGGAUUACCCGCUGAACUUAAGCAUAUCAAUAAGCGGAGGCU